GAGGUACACAGAGAUCGUAGAGGGCUCUAGAAUUCCCUGGAGUGUUCGGCGCCUGGCUGGGUCAGAGCCCGGAACUACAUUUCCCAGCGUGCCGCGGGCUCGGGAAGGCGUCUCUGGCACCCGCGGGGGCUGGGGAGUCGCCGCUGUCGCUGCCGCCGCCUCCGGCGCUGAUCUGGUGAUGUUUCCAAUCUCUGGCCACCGUAUCCCAGCACAGGAUGCUGCUCUGUACUGCCAGUGCCCACAAGCUUGAGACUGUUGUUUAUGACGAUAAGUCUCUCAAGAUGUCUAUCAAAGAAUCUUGUGGGAAAGGAGAAAAGUCUCAGAAAAAAGAGAUCACUUCUUCACCAACUUUUGUUGAAGAGAAGAAGGAGGGAGAAAUCUCAGUAGGCUCUACUAGUUCAGCACACUAUAUUAAACCUGUUUCAACCAAGAAGAGAAAACUGAAACCAGAUGAUACAGAUAUUAUAUACUAUAAUACAAACAGAAAACAAGAUCUGAAAAGAUUGAAUGUAGAAGUUGACACACCCCGAAAGAGACCAAAAUUCAGUUCUUCAACCCAAGGACCUACUAAACUCCAAGUAAUAUCGUAUUCAAAUAACAAUCAAGUUACUUCACAGAAUUGUUCAUCAAAUGGAACUAAAGAUACUAAACUUAAAGAUAGUAAAUUGACAAAUGUUGGAAGUAAGCUUGAUUAUGAAAUAAAAAAACAUAGGGCCAUUAAAAUUACCAGAGAUAUGAAAUCUAAAGCUGACGGCCAGACAAAGGAAAAAAAUUGGUCUCGUUCACUUAUUCAGGAGAAUAUGAAGGAACUCAAGAAAGAAAAAAACAAUAAACUUAGAGACAGUUCUGAAGAAUUGGAGAAAUGCAAGAAAAAUCAACUUCCUCAGAAUUAUAAUUUCAGUGACAUAAACAAGGAACCAUUUGAAUCUAGAAGGAAGAAGAUCAGCUUCAAAAUUCCCAAAAAAUCUAGUAUCCUCCAGAAGUUUGUAGAAGAAAAUGUCUUUAGUGCAGAUUCUAGUAAUUCAAAGAUUAAGCAGGAGGAAAGGGAAUGCUUGAAAAGUUCACAGAUGUCAUUAGAUAUGAACAGGCACAAAGCUGGAAACUUGUUUACAGAUUCUUCAUGCAAGCAGACUGUUUGUGAGGGGAAAAGAAAAGACCGCCACGAGCAUCCAGAAGUUAAUUGUUCAGAUUCUAAGGAAAACCAUAUCCAGAAUUUUGAGGCACCAUGUUCUUCAGUGUCAUCUGAGAAUAUCCAGGAUACAGAUGAAGAGAUGCAGAUAGUAGAAGAGCUCCAUGCUGCACGUGUGGGAAAAAGUGUGCCUUUACCUGUCCUUCCACCUUCUGGAGAGUUAAUGAGCAUGGAGAUUGACUUGGUGGAAGACGAUGUGCAUUCAUCUACUGUAAAUACUGCCACAGACAAAAAGCUUUUAAUUGUUAUUGACACAAAUAUUCUGAUGAAUCAUCUCAAAUUUGUUAAAAUUUUGAAGACAACAGAAAUACCAGGCUUUGACACACUUGUGCUAAUAAUUCCCUGGGUGGUUGUACAAGAGCUAGAUCGAAUGAAGGCAGGAAAAUUACUAAAACAUGUCCAGCAUAAAGCUGUACCUGCUAUUCAUUUCAUCAACGACAGCCUCAAAAGUCAAGAUAGGAAGCUGUGGGGUCAGUCAUUACAGUUGGCAUCCCAAAAGCUUUAUGGAUUGAGUGAUGAGAACAAUGAUGAUCGAGUAUUAAAAUGCUGUCUUCAGUACCAGGAGUUAUUUCCAUGUUCUCUUGUUAUUCUGUGCACGGAUGAUAGAAAUUUAAGAAGUAAAGGCCUGAUGAGUGGUGUGAAGUCACUCAGUAAAGAAGAAUUGGAUGCAGAAAUAAUAACCUUAGCUCUCAAUACAAAUAUGUGUCAUCAGCCUUGUAUUUCUAAGCAACAGUUGAAAGCAGAAACAGCACCAGUAGAGGAGCCAUCUAAGGAAGAACCUACACAUUCUACACUAUCCAUUCUACUUGAACGGAUUAUAUGUGAUCUUGAAAAAUCUCUUGGGACAGCUUUAUCUUCAAUAUUAGAAACAGAAAUGAAAUUUGCUUUUGGAAAUCUUUGGAUGGAGGUGCUGUACUUGAAACCACCAUGGACUCUAAUAAAUCUAUUGCAGUGCUUUAAAAAACAUUGGUUGGCUGUAUUCGGAUUAGUUAUGGAAAAUAAGUUGCUUUUAAUUAUUGAGAGCCUAUCUGAAAAUCUCUCUAAAGCUAAUAAUGCAGUGGAUUUUAAAACAGUAAAAUUCCUGCUUCAGGAUUCUAAAAGUUUGUUACAUGCCUUCAGUACAAGGUCAAAUUAUGAUGGUAUUCUUCCACAGACCUUUGCUCAAGUAAACAGACUACUUCAAGUACUUGCAGAGGUCAGGACAAAAUUAAAGCCAAAUUCUUCAGAAAGCACAGUGAGUGAAAAGCAGGAAGACACUUCUUUGAUGAAGCAUCAUAAUCAAGAAGUCACUGUUUCCUUGGAUUCUCAUCCUCCCCAGUUCACCAGGCAUCAGGAAAUCUGGUCUAUCCUGGAGAAUGUUUGGACUUCAAUAUAUCAGAACAGCACAGAUGUGUUUCAGACACUAGACUCAAGUUCAACUCUGACCACUUCAAAAAUAGCAUCAUUUGAAGAAGCAUUUAUAUAUCUUCAAAAGUUGAUGGCAGCUGUGAAGGAUAUUCUUGAAGGAAUUCAAAGGAUUUUGGCUCCUAAUAGUAAUUACCAAGAUGUUGAGACUCUCUAUAACUUCCUAAUCAAGUAUGAGGUAAACAAAAGUGUCAGAUUUACUCCCCAGGAACUUUAUGAUUGUGUUUCUCAGACUGAGUAUCGGGAAAAAUUAACAAUUGGAUGCCGCCAACUGAUUGAGAUGGAGUAUACCAUGCAGCAGUGCAAUGCAUCUGUCUAUAUGGAGGCCAAAAACAGAGGAUGGUGUGAAGACAUGUUCAACAACAGGACUUAAGUUCUUGGGAAGAAUGGCACCUAUCAUCAUGAGUAACACAAUCCUUCUCAGUGAAUGUAUGUUAAAACUCACCUAGCUCCUUCAGAUAUUUUUGUUGUUGAAGAAAGACAAACAAAAAAGGAAAGAAGGAAUACUACAGAGACUUUGCUGUGACUCAGGUGCUUGAGGCAACCCUGCAACUACGGGAUUGUUCAACAUGGACCCUUUAUCCUCUGCCUCCUUCUAGAGAUGUUAAAGUGACUUGGGUGCUGAAGAGGUGGCUGACGUUACUUUCACCAGAGCUCCCACUCAGUGCUCUUCCAGUCGACCUGAGUUUGGUUUCCAGCACCCAUAUCAAGAGGUAGCUCACAACCACUAGUAACUAGCUCCUGGGCACUCAAUGUUUUCUUCUGGUCUCUGCAGACACCUUCUCACUUGUGUGUAGAACCUACACACACACAUAUUAACCCAUGCCAUUAGAUACGUUAUACCGCUGUAAUUCUAUAAGAUUUCUUUUGCAUAGCUCUAGGGUGAAUAUCCAAUAUUGAAACUAUGCCCAAGCCAGAGGUUCAUGUCAAGAUCAAGCCAACAGUUCUGCAUAGUAACCUUACAGUACAAGUAAUGCUAUUUAACAUAGUGUCAAAAAUAAAUAUAUCCACUGUAGAAGAGAUAGAGCAUUUUGUAGAACUUGAUUUCCCAGUACUAUGUCAUCACCACAGAAAAACACAAGUAUUUUAAAUAAAAAAACUGAAUGGAAAAUGCCAGAAAAAACUGCCAGUCAAGAGACAGGUGAUCCUUUUACAUUACUAAAGCCCAGAGAUCAAAACAGCAUACUGGGUUGAAAGAGGA